rnacentral:rRNA from 1 species
UUGGCUCAGGAUGAACGCUGGCGGCGUGCUUAACACAUGCAAGUCGAGCGAGAAAUAUAUCAGUUGAUACUUCGGUUGAAACAGAUAUAUGGAAAGCGGCGGACGGGUGAGUAACGCGUGGGAAACCUGCCCUUAUCAGGGGGACAGCCGAGGGAAACUUCGAUUAAUACCCCAUAAUGCAUAAGAGAGACAUCUCUCAUAUGCCAAAGAUUUAUCGGAUAAGGAUGGUCCCGCGUCUGAUUAGGUAGUUGGUGGGGUAACGGCCUACCAAGCCGACGAUCAGUAGCCGACCUGAGAGGGUGACCGGCCACAUUGGGACUGAGACACGGCCCAAACUCCUACGGGAGGCAGCAGUGGGGAAUA